UACGAAGGGUGCAAGCGUUAAUCGGAAUUACUGGGCGUAAAGGGCGCGUAGGCGGCCCGGUCAGUUCGUGGUGAAAGCGCGGGGCUCAACCCUGCGUCGGCCAUGAAUACUGCCGCGGCUGGAGCACUGUAGAGGCAGGCGGAAUUCCGGGUGUAGCGGUGGAAUGCGUAGAGAUCCGGAAGAACACCGGUGGCGAAGGCGGCCUGCUGGGCAGUUGCUGACACUGAGGCGCGACAGCGUGGGGAGCAAACAGG
rnacentral:rRNA from 1 species